GCGAGGGGAGUGAAACAGAACCUGAAACCGUGUACGUACAAGCAGUGGGAGCCUCUCUUUAUGGGGGGUGACUGCGUACCUUUUGUAUAAUGGGUCAGCGACUUAUAUUCUGUAGCAAGGUUAACCGCAUAGGGGAGCCGAAGGGAAACCGAGUCUUAACCGGGCGUUAAGUUGCAGGGUAUAGACCCGAAACCCGGUGAUCUAGCCAUGGGCAGGUUGAAGGUUGGGUAACACUAACUGGAGGACCGAACCGACUAAUGUUGAAAAAUUAGCGGAUGACCUGUGGCUGGGGGUGAAAGGCCAAUCAAACCGGGAGAUAGCUGGUUCUCCCCGAAAGCUAUUUAGGUAGCGCCUCGUGAACUCAUCUCCGGGGGUAGAGCACUGUUUCGGCUAGGGGGCCAUCCCGGCUUACCAACCCGAUGCAAACUGCGAAUACCGGAGAAUGUUAUCACGGGAGACACACGGCGGGUGCUAACGUCCGUCGUGAAGAGGGAAACAACCCAGACCGCCAGCUAAGGUCCCAAAGUCAUGGUUAAGUGGGAAACGAUGUGGGAAGGCCCAGACAGCCAGGAUGUUGGCUUAGAAGCAGCCAUCAUUUAAAGAAAGCGUAAUAGCUCACUGGUCGAGUCGGCCUGCGCGGAAGAUGUAACGGGGCUAAACCAUGCACCGAAGCUGCGGCAGCGACACUUUAGUGUUGUUGGGUAGGGGAGCGUUCUGUAAGCCGUUGAAGGUGUCCUGUGAGGGGUGCUGGAGGUAUCAGAAGUGCGAAUGCUGACAUAAGUAACGAUAAAGCGGGUGAAAAGCCCGCUCGCCGGAAGACCAAGGGUUCCUGUCCAACGUUAAUCGGGGCAGGGUGAGUCGACCCCUAAGGCGAGGCCGAAAGGCGUAGUCGAUGGGAAACGGGUUAAUAUUCCCGUACUUGGUGUUACUGCGAAGGGGGGACGGAGAAGGCUAUGUUGGCCGGGCGACGGUUGUCCCGGUUUAAGCGUGUAGGUGUGUGUUCCAGGUAAAUCCGGUUCACUUUAACACUGAGGCGUGAUGACGAGGCACCACGGUGCUGAAGCAACAAAUGCCCUGCUUCCAGGAAAAGCCUCUAAGCAUCAGGUAACAUCAAAUCGUACCCCAAACCGACACAGGUGGUCAGGUAGAGAAUACCAAGGCGCUUGAGAGAACUCGGGUGAAGGAACUAGGCAAAAUGGUGCCGUAACUUCGGGAGAAGGCACGCUGACAC
rnacentral:rRNA from 1 species